AAAAUUAUUAUGGUUUUAUAAAAUAUGGAUGAAAUUUUAAUAAGUUUAUUGAAUCUGUUCCUUCCAAAAACUGAUGUAAGCCCAUAGCAUUAGAUAUUAUAGUUCAGACAACUUUAUUCUAAUUUUGUAUUGUACUUACACAAGUCUUAGAAGUUAAAUACUAUGCCUAAAAUAGAAAUAAAUUAAAUAUUUAUUUACCUUUAUU